UUUACAUCUAACACAAUUUCCCAACUCAUAUGGAAACGGGGUUUGUAUAUCUUUUUUGAAUGACUCUUACCAUAAUAUGUUACGUUAACAUACCAGUUGGUUAUUUAUGCCUCAUAUAACGUACACUUAUUCACUAUUCUUUAUUUAUUUUAAAUUGCCUUUCAAAUGUCUAUUCUUGGUGUUGGCUUUUAUCAAAUACAUUUCCCCCAAAAAAUGCGACUUAUACUCCAGUGCGACUUAUAUAUGUUUUUUUCCUUCUUUAUUAUGCAUUUUCGGCCGGUGCGACUUACACUCCGGAGCGCCUUAUACUCCGAAAAAUACGGUAAGUGGUGAAACUUCCUAUAAGAGGACAGCUGUAGUGCUGUAUUCUGAGGAUCAUGUCAUAUUUAAUUUGAACUUUAUUAAA